rnacentral:rRNA from 1 species
AUUGAACGCUGGCGGCAUGCCUUACACAUGCAAGUCGAACGGCAGCACGGAGCUUGCUCUGGUGGCGAGUGGCGAACGGGUGAGUAAUAUAUCGGAACGUACCCAAGAGUGGGGGAUAACGUAGCGAAAGUUACGCUAAUACCGCAUACGAUCUAAGGAUGAAAGCAGGGGAGUCUUCGGACCUUGUGCUCCUGGAGCGGCCGAUAUCUGAUUAGCUAGUUGGUGAGGUAAAGGCUCACCAAGGCAUCGAUCAGUAGCUGGUCUGAGAGGAUGAUCAGCCACACUGGAACUGAGACACGGUCCAGACUCCUACGGGAGGCAGCAGUAGGGAAUAUUGGACAAUGGGGGCAACCCUGAUCCAGCCAUGCCGCGUGAGUGAAGAAGGCCCUCGGUGUAAAGCUCUUUGUCCGAAGAAAGCAAUCGGUAAUACCCGGUUGUCUGACGGUACCGAAGAAUAAGCACCGGCUAACUUCGUGCC